UCUAGAUGUUUAUCUGAUUAUUUAUUUAUUUAUUUAAAAUUUUUAUUAUUUCUGUUUCGUUAUUAUUAUAUUCUCAUUUAAUUUAGUCUUAUCUAACUGCGUCUGGACACCUUUGCCACGUGUUCCAGCAGCGUCUGAUCCUCUUGUCAUUUGUUUUACUGAAACGCUUCGCUCUCACCACGACUAUUUUCAAAGCCCACAGAGAUGAUUAACCGGGUUAUCAAGAUCAUUUCUCCAGCUAUCAAUGUAGAAAACUUAUCAAUCUGUCAUUAGAACCAUAGAAACGCCCUUAAAAACUCUUGUAACUUCGACUAGAGCCCUUGAAAGUAGUAGAGGUACAGCGCGGAAGUGGCUUAGAAUACCGUUAAUUUCCCUUGCUUCACGCCGCACCAGCAUUCAUGAAUCUUAUAGAAACUCCCUCCCUCUCAGCCUUACUUGGAGUAGCCACGCCGUACCUGCCUGAAGAAAGGAUAUUUGAAGGGAACGAGAGGACAGCGCGUACGUUUUGGUUAAUAAGAGAAGAGAAAAGGAAGGAAACAAGACCCAGACGAAAAGAGGAGAGGCGGGAGGGAGCGAUUCAAAAGCAACAGGUAGAAACACUCCGCUUGACUCACCCCGCCGCCUCGCCUUGCCCACCACACAUCAUGCGCCAUCUGCCCGCCAGCUGAGGACAACACUCGCACUCCUGACGGGGGCGCAGUGGGGGGAGCUUGGCAGAAUCUCCAGCCUAGUGAGGAACUGGGGGAGUAACGCCACCAGGAUCGGUAAGAGGGGCACUGCCAGGGUGUCACGCUGGCCAACGCGGUGUUUGUGACAUGGAGAGGAAGUAGUCACGGGUGCAGCCCCUGGGAGAAGCGAUAAGCCCUCCUAAUUAAAGCCUCUUCCAGCGUGGACUUCCCCCGUCCCUGAUAUCCUCCUAAUGAUACCUCAACGAGUCUCCGACCUCAAUUGUAAUAAUAAUUACAUUAACGUCUCCAACAUUAUAAUAAUAAUACCUGUCUCCGGAGGCGCGGGCAUCCUAAUCGUAAUGAUACCUCAAAGAGGCUCCGGAGAAAGACGCAAUAAUAAUGAUACCUCAGAGAGUGUCCGGAGAAACAUGCAAAUAAAAAUAAUGAUAGAGGACCUCUAAGAGACCAAAGGAAAGACGCAAAUAAUAAUAAUGAUACCUCUAAGAGACCAAAGGAAAGCCGCAGAGACCUCGGGGAAAAACGCGGAACACACAAAUCGGAAGGCAAAAACACCUUUUAAUUUUUUUUUUUUUUUUU